GAAAUGCGAUAAGUAGUGUGAAUUGCAGAAUUCAGUGAAUCAUCGAAUCUUUGAACGCACAUUGCGCCCUUUGGUAUUCCAAAGGGCAUGCCUGUUCGAGCGUCAUUUGUACCCUCAAGCUUUGCUUGGUGUUGGGCGUCUUGUCUCUAGCUUUGCUGGAGACUCGCCUUAAAGUAAUUGGCAGCCGGCCUACUGGUUUCGGAGCGCAGCACAAGUCGCACUCUCUAUCAGCAAAGGUCUAGUAUCCAUUAAGCCUUUUUUUCAACUUUUGACCUCGGAUCAGGUAGGGAUACCCGCUGAACUUAAGC
rnacentral:misc_RNA from 1 species